rnacentral:rRNA from 1 species
AUUGAACGCUGGCGGCAUGCCUUACACAUGCAAGUCGAACGGCAGCACGGGUGCUUGCACCUGGUGGCGAGUGGCGAACGGGUGAGUAAUACAUCGGAACGUACCUUAUCGUGGGGGAUAACGCAGCGAAAGCUGUGCUAAUACCGCAUACGCCCUGAGGGGGAAAGCGGGGGAUCGCAAGACCUCGCGCGAUUAGAGCGGCCGAUGCCUGAUUAGCUAGUUGGUGGGGUAAAAGCCCACCAAGGCGACGAUCAGUAGCUGGUCUGAGAGGACGAUCAGCCACACUGGGACUGAGACACGGCCCAGACUCCUACGGGAGGCAGCAGUGGGGAAUUUUGGACAAUGGGGGCAACCCUGAUCCAGCAAUGCCGCGUGAGUGAAGAAGGCCUUCGGGUUGUAAAGCUCUUUUGUCAGUGAAGAAACACCGGCUCUAACACAGUCCGGGAAUGACGGUACCUGAAGAAUAAGCACCGGCUAACUACGUGCCAGCAGCCGCCGUAA